GACGAACGCUGGCGGCGUGCUUAACACAUGCAAGUCGAACGGAAAGGCCCUGCUUGCGUGGGGUGCUCGAGUGGCGAACGGGUGAGGAACACGUGAGUAACCUGCUCUUGAUUUUGGGAUAACUUCAGGAAACUGGGGCUAAUACCGUACAGGAGCCCCUGCUCCAUGGUGGGGGUUGGAAAUUUUCGGCUGUUGGGGAUGGACUCGCGGCUUAUCAGCUUGUUGGUGGGGGAGGGGAUUACCAAGGCUUUGACGGGUAGCCGGCCUGGGAGGGUGACCGGCCCCCUUGGGACUGAGAUACGGCCCAGACUCCUACGGGGGACAGCAGUCGGGAGUAUUGCACAGUGGGCCGAAGCCUGAUAAAACAGCGCCGGGUGCGGGAUGACGGCCUUCGGGUAAUGAACCGCUUUCGCCUGAGACGAAGCGUGUGUGACGGUAAUGAGUAAAGAAGCACCGGCUAACUUCGUG
rnacentral:rRNA from 1 species